rnacentral:rRNA from 1 species
GACGAACGCUGGCGGCGUGCUUAACACAUGCAAGUCGAACGGAAAGGCCCUGCUGUUGUGGGGUGCUCGAGUGGCGAACGGGUGAGUAACACGUGAGUAACCUGCCCUUGACUUUGGGAUAACUUCAGGAAACUGGGGCUAAUACCGGAUAGGAGCUCCUGCUGCAUGGUGGGGGUUGGAAAGUUUCGGCGGUUGGGGAUGGACUCGCGGCUUAUCAGCUUGUUGGUGGGGUAGUGGCUUACCAAGGCUUUGACGGGUAGCCGGCCUGAGAGGGUGACCGGCCACAUUGGGACUGGGAUACGGGCCAGACUCCUACGGGAGGCAGCAGUGGGGAAUAUUGCACAAUGGGCGGAAGCCUGAUGCAGCAACGCCGGGUGCGGGAUGACGGCCUUCGGGUUGUAACCCGCUUUCGCCUGUGACGAAGCGUGAGUGACGGUAAUGGGUAAAGAAGCACCGGCUAACUACGUG